UACGUAGGCAGCAAGCGUUGUUCGGAGUUACUGGGCGUAAAGGGUGUGUAGGCGGUUGUUUAAGUUUGGUGUGAAAUCUCCCGGCUCAACCGGGAGGGUGCGCCGAAUACUGAAUGACUCGAGUGCGGGAGAGGAAAGUGGAAUUCCUGGUGUAGCGGUGAAAUGCGUAGAUAUCAGGAGGAACACCAAUAGCGAAGGCAGCUCGCUGGGACGUUACUGACACUGAGGCGCGAAAGCGUGGGGAGCGAACAGG
rnacentral:rRNA from 1 species